GAUCAUGGCUCAGGAUGAACGCUGGCGGCGUGCCUAACACAUGCAAGUCGAGCGAUUCUCUUCGGAGAAGAGCGGCGGACGGGUGAGUAACGCGUGGGUAACCUGCCCUGUACACACGGAUAACAUACCGAAAGGUAUGCUAAUACGAGAUAAUAUGCUUUUAUCGCAUGGUAGAAGUAUCAAAGCUUUUGCGGUACAGGAUGGACCCGCGUCUGAUUAGCUAGUUGGUAAGGUAACGGCUUACCAAGGCGACGAUCAGUAGCCGACCUGAGAGGGUGAUCGGCCACAUUGGAACUGAGACACGGUCCAAACUCCUACGGGAGGCAGCAGUGGGGAAUAUUGCACAAUGGGCGAAAGCCUGAUGCAGCAACGCCGCGUGAGCGAUGAAGGCCUUCGGGUCGUAAAGCUCUGUCCUCAAGGAAGAUAAUGACGGUACUUGAGGAGGAAGCCCCGGCUAACUACGUG
rnacentral:rRNA from 1 species